rnacentral:piRNA from 1 species
UAAUGAGGUGUGAUUUGAUUGGAUCUUGC